rnacentral:rRNA from 1 species
UGGGGAAUAUUGCACAAUGGGGGAAACCCUGAUGCAGCGACGCCGCGUGAAGGAAGAAGUAUCUCGGUAUGUAAACUUCUAUCAGCAGGGAAGAAAAUGACGGUACCUGACUAAGAAGCCCCGGCUAACUACGUGCCAGAGCCGCGGUAAUACGUAGGGGGCAAGCGUUAUCCGGAUUUACUGGGUGUAAAGGGAGCGUAGACGGAAGAGCAAGUCUGAUGUGAAAGGCUGGGGCUUAACCCCAGGACUGCAUUGGAAACUGUUUUUCUAGAGUGCCGGAGAGGUAAGCGGAAUUCCUAGUGUAGCGGUGAAAUGCGUAGAUAUUAGGAGGAACACCAGUGGCGAAGGCGGCUUACUGGACGGUAACUGACGUUGAGGCUCGAAAGCGUGGGGAGCAAACAG